AGGUCACAAGUUCCUGAGCAGUUCCUCCAAAGCCUGCCGCUGUCAUUGAUGCCAACAAGCAUAUAAAAAUUUGAGUGCCAUUGAACUCAAAUUUUAUACAGCUCUUUUGAGAUUAACCUAUUGGAAGAUCUUCUGGCUUAAGUUCCUGUUUUCAUCAUUUUACCAAGUUAUAAGAAACUCCCCACUCCUAGUGCUAGUUGUUGUGUCUCAGCAGACAAGCAGGCAAACGGGCAUUCUAAUUGAUUUCUAUAUAAAUAACGUUCUGUUCAUCAGCACAUGCCAUUUCAGUCUGAUAUAUCAUCGGAGUCAUGCUUUUGUCUAGUUUCA